rnacentral:rRNA from 1 species
UACGGGGGGUGCGAGCGUUGUCCAGAACCAUUGGGCGUAAAGAGCGUGUAGGCGGCUCGGUAAGUCCGCUGUGAAAGUCCAGGGCUCAACCCUGGAAUGCCGGUGGAAACUGUCGAGCUAGAGUCCGGAAGAGGCGAGUGGAAUUCCUGGUGUAGCGGUGAAAUGCGCAGAUAUCAGGAGGAACACCAAUGGCGAAGGCAGCUCGCUGGGACGGUACUGACGCUGAGACGCGAAAGCGUGGGGAGCAAACAGG